GCCAGGUGCAGUGGUGCAUGCCUGUAAUCCCAGCUGCUCGGGAGGCUGAGGCAGGAGGAUUGCAAGUUUAAGGCCAGCCUCAGCAACUUGGCGAGAUCCUCAGCAACUUAGUGAGACCCUGUCUCAA
rnacentral:sRNA from 1 species